CUCUAUCACAGUUUUACACUGUUUAUAUUUAACAUUUGAUCGUUCGUUUUAUUUAAAUUAUUUUAUGAUUAACUCUUUUAUUGUUAUUAAAUGAUAAAAUAUAAAUAAUAUUUUAUGUGUGACUAAUUUUUUUAAAAAAAAAUUAUAAAGAUGGAUAGUUAAAUAUUGGAUAUGGAUAUCUAUAGUUGUACUUAUU
rnacentral:pre_miRNA from 1 species